UAAGGGCUUUUGUAGUUGAGUUA
rnacentral:tRNA from 1 species